AUCCAUCUGACAAGUCCGAAAUAGGACGAAACGCACCUCAUAGAU
rnacentral:hammerhead_ribozyme from 1 species